CUAGCUUACUUCUUACUUUGCACUCUGUGAUGCUGAGGAAUUCUGCCGCUCAAACAAUCUUGCCAUAGAGAAAGUGGAUGCAGAAGAUCAGAGAAUACUUACAGAAAAUCAAACAGCAUUUUAUAUAGUACAUUACACAUUAAAAUACAUGCUGAACUAAUUUGCACAGACACUACAACACAAAAGACCUCAUAUUACUGUACAAUUUUGGUCUUAUAUGAAAUUAGUGAAGAUUGUCUGGCUUUGAUUAUUAUGUGGGAGUAAGAAUUCAGAAUGUAAUAUUUUUCAUUUCCAAUAGUUCAUCCACUAGAAAACUUUGCCUGUCUUAUAUUACCAUCUACAACUCAUUUUUGUUUAUUUUUUUAUUGCACAUUGAGUUUAUUCAAUGUUAUAUUUUAGGAUGAUAAAAUUGUAGUGGAAUGCACCUACAAUACAACCAACCGCAACCAUGUUACCACAUUGGGGCUUUCAACCACCAAUGAAAUGUGCCUUGCUUUUCUGAUGUAUUACCCCAGAAACACUAUUGCCAACUGUAACAGUGUACCACGGGUCAUUUAUAACUCAAGCAUAAUGAGUCAAACAACAUCAAAUUGGAGCAAUAAUUCAAUUACCUCAUUCCAACAGCUGCUUAAAACAAGCACCCAAGCUGUGGUGGUGAUCAAUCUAACUGCUGGAGUCAAUGUGCAGGAAGGAUCAAUUCUUGACAUGCAGCCAUCUCUGGCGGCAGACUGCAAAUCUAUCCCCAUUGGCCAUGGCAAUUCAAUUUUGAACAACUAUUGUUCUCUACUCUAUCUGAUAUUGUUAAUUGUUGUCAUAUAUUACCUUGAAGAAACACUUUAAAGAUAACCUACUACAUUGAAGUGAUAUGAAUAACCAUACUUUCAUCUGCCUGCAUAACAAUAAACUUUAAAUA